UACCCCUAGCAAAUCUCAAAAAACCGUCUCAGUUCAGAUUGCACUCUGCAACUCGGGUGCAUGAAGGUGGAAUCGCUAGUAAUCGCGGAUCAGCAUGCCGCGGUGAAUACGUUCCCGGGCCUUGUACACACCGCCCGUCACACCAUGGGAGUUGGUUUUACCCGAAGCCGGUGUGCGAACCGCAAGGACGCAGCCGACCACGGUCAGGUCAGCGACUGGGGUGAAG
rnacentral:rRNA from 1 species